AUUGAACGCUGGCGGCAUGCUUUACACAUGCAAGUCGAACGGCAGCGCGGGCUUCGCCCUGGCGGCGAGUGGCGAACUGGUGAGUAAUGCAUCGGAACGUGCCCAGUUGUUGGGGAUAGCCCGGCGAAAGCCGGAUUAAUACCGCAUACGACCUGAGGGUGAAAGCGGGGGACCAAAAGGCCUCGCGCCAUUGGAGCGGCCGAUGUCGGAUUAGCUAGUUGGUGGGGUAAAGGCUUACCAAGGCGACGAUCCGUAGCUGGUCUGAGAGGACGACCAGCCACACUGGGACUGAGACACGGCCCAGACUCCUACGGGAGGCAGCAGUGGGGAAUUUUGGACAAUGGGGGCAACCCUGAUCCAGCCAUGCCGCGUGCGGGAAGAAGGCCUUCGGGUUGUAAACCGCUUUUGUUCGGGAAGAAAUCCUCUGGGCUAAUACCCCGGGGGGAUGACGGUACCGGAAGAAUAAGCACCGGCUAACUACGUG
rnacentral:rRNA from 1 species